rnacentral:rRNA from 1 species
CCAGUAGCGUAUAUUAAAGUUGUUGCAGUUAAAAAGCUCGUAGUUGAAUUUCGGGAUCAAUAUUUCGGUCAUGCCGUUGGUAUGCACUGUUAUCAUUGAUUUCUCACCUUCUAAAGAACCGUAAUGCCAUUAAUUUGGUGUUACGGGGAAUUAGGACUGUUACCUUGAAAAAAUUAGAGUGUUUAAAGCAGGCUCACGCUUGAAUACAUUAGCAUGGAAUAAUGAAAUAGGACAUCCGAUUCUAUUUUGUUGGUUUCUAGGAUCGAUGUAAUGAUUAAUAGGGAUAGUUGGGGGCAUUAGUAUUCAAUUGUCAGAGGUGAAAUUCUUGGAUUUAUUGAAGACUAACUACUGCGAAGGCAUUUGCCAAGGAUGUUUUCAUUAAUCAAGAACGAAAGUUAGGGGAUCGAAGACGAUCAGAUACCGUCGUAGUCUUAACCAUAAACUAUGCCGACUAGGGAUCGGAUGAUGUUAAUUUUUUAAUGACUCAUUCGGCGCCUUACG